GGCGGGCGGGAGGGACGGGACGCGGUGCAGUGUUGUUACUUCCCCCGCCAAUAUUGCACUCG
rnacentral:miRNA from 1 species